rnacentral:rRNA from 1 species
UACGUAGGGUCCGAGCGUUGUCCGGAGUUACUGGGCGUAAAGCGCGCGCAGGCGGCGGUGUUGGCCCGGCGUGAAAGCCCCCGGCUCAACCGGGGAGAGUCGUCGGGGACCGCACCGCUUGAGGGCGGUAGGGGCUGGUGGAAUUCCCGGUGUAGAGGUGAAAUUCGUAGAUAUCGGGAGGAACACCUGUGGCGAAGGCGGCCAUCUGGACGAUAACUGACGCUGAGACGCGAAAGCGUGGGUAGCAAACAGG